CUGAAGAAAGGGGCUGUUUGGCACUCUUUGGUGCAAUAUGAGCAGCUCACCCUCCUAUAGUAUCUGGGGUUUCUCCAUCGCAUGUUGUAAGCCAAAGCGGUUCCCAGUUGCCACUUUUGGAAGAGAAUUAAAAUCACAUUGUGACUGAUCCAAGAAUCAGACCUGGAAUGUAUAAGCCUGUUUUUGUCUACUCAAGUGCCAAGGGAAGGCAACAUUUGCAGCUGACUGGAGGAAGAGGCCAGAUGUACUCAAAGAUGUUGAGAGGCACUAAUAUAUGGACUGACCAAUUUAUGGAACAGGAUAAAGGAUGGAAAACAAGACAAUUGUGCCAAGAGAAAUUAUUUCAAUCAUUCAAUGUUCCCUGAAGUGUUCUGCAUAAACUUAAAGGUGGGACGGGAGAAAGAGGGUUUCUGCUUUCUUAACUGCAUUGUAAAUGCAACAGGGAGAGUGAUUAAUGGUCUAGGUGCUUAUGAUCUGUAGCACAAAAUAAAGUCAAAUAUUGAAGUCUUCCAUGUUUCACACAUUCAUUCUUGCUUCAUACAACAGUUCACAUGUGAAGGACAGGCUAACAAAACUUCAGGGACUAGUAGUAAUAAACUCUCAAUUUUCCUUGUUUCCCAAACUAUUGAUGUAGCAAUAUGCAUCCAUUCUGGUCAGUGGAAAUGGUUUUUGCAGGUUGAGUAAUCUUUUGUACUGUGCACUACUAUUAUUUUCCUCUAGAGUUUUCCUACUGUAGAAAAUUAUGUGUAUUUGUCUCUUUGUAUCAUUACUGUUGUGAAAUAUGUGCCUGGAUUGGUGACCUCUGAGUCAGAUUUUCUGCCCCUUUGUACUGCUUUUCAGGCCUUUCACCUUUAUUGACUUCAGCAGUGCACAAACUCAGAGGCUUUAAUUAAAUGGACAAAUUCUGCUUGUGUUUGUGCUGUGAUGAAGGCCUGGGUAUUCCUUUGGGUGAAGAUGAGUGUCACUGAGGUCAAGAUGUGGUCCAUCAUUAUCUC